AUUGAACGCUGGCGGCAGGCCUAACACAUGCAAGUCGAACGAGUGGCGGACGGGUGAGUAAUGUCUGGGAAACUGCCUGAUGGAGGGGGAUAACGACUGGAAACGGUAGCUAAUACCGCAUACCAUCAGAUGUGCCCAGAUGGGCUUAGCUUGUUGGUGGGGUAACGGCUCACCAAGGCGACGAUCCCUAGCUGGUCUGAGAGGAUGACCAGCAACGCGGGAACUGCGACACGGUCCAGCCUCCUGCGGCAGGCAGCCGUGGGGAAUAUUGGACAAUGGGCGCAAGCCUGAUGCAGCCAUGCCGCGUGUAUGAAGAAGGCCUUCGGGUUGUAAAGUACUUUCAGCGGGGAGGCGUUACCCGCAGAAGAAGCACCGGCUAACUCCGUGCCAGCAGCCGCGGUAAUAC
rnacentral:rRNA from 1 species